rnacentral:rRNA from 1 species
ACGUGCUAAUCUGCGAUAAGCGUCGGUAAGGUGAUAUGAACCGUUAUAACCGGCGAUUUCCGAAUGGGGAAACCCAGUGUGAUUCGUCACACUAUCAUUAACUGAAUCCAUAGGUUAAUGAGGCGAACCGGGGGAACUGAAACAUCUAAGUACCCCGAGGAAAAGAAAUCAACCGAGAUUCCCCCAGUAGCGGCGAGCGAACGGGGAGCAGCCCAGAGCCUGAAUCAGUGUGUGUGUUAGUGGAAGCGUCUGGAAAGGCGCGCGAUACAGGGUGACAGCCCCGUACACAAAAAUGCACAUGCUGUGAGCUCGAUGAGUAGGGCGGGACACGUGGUAUCCUGUCUGAAUAUGGGGGGACCAUCCUCCAAGGCUAAAUACUCCUGACUGACCGAUAGUGAACCAGUACCGUGAGGGAAAGGCGAAAAGAACCCCGGCGAGGGGAGUGAAAAAGAACCUGAAACCGUGUACGUACAAGCAGUGGGAGCACAGAGCAAUCUGUGUGACUGCGUACCUUUUGUAUAAUGGGUCAGCGACUUAUAUUCUGUAGCAAGGUUAACCGAAUAGGGGAGCCGAAGGGAAACCGAGUCUUAACUGGGCGUUAAGUUGCAGGGUAUAGACCCGAAACCCGGUGAUCUAGCCAUGGGCAGGUUGAAGGUUGGGUAACACUAACUGGAGGACCGAACCGACUAAUGUUGAAAAAUUAGCGGAUGACUUGUGGCUGGGGGUGAAAGGCCAAUCAAACCGGGAGAUAGCUGGUUCUCCCCGAAAGCUAUUUAGGUAGCGCCUCGUGAAUUCAUCUCCGGGGGUAGAGCACUGUUUCGGCAAGGGGGUCAUCCCGACUUACCAACCCGAUGCAAACUGCGAAUACCGGAGAAUGUUAUCACGGGAGACACACGGCGGGUGCUAACGUCCGUCGUGAAGAGGGAAACAACCCAGACCGCCAGCUAAGGUCCCAAAGUCAUGGUUAAGUGGGAAACGAUGUGGGAAGGCCCAGACAGCCAGGAUGUUGGCUUAGAAGCAGCCAUCAUUUAAAGAAAGCGUAAUAGCUCACUGGUCGAGUCGGCCUGCGCGGAAGAUGUAACGGGGCUAAACCAUGCACCGAAGCUGCGGCAGCGACGCUGAUGCGUUGUUGGGUAGGGGAGCGUUCUGUAAGCCUGCGAAGGUGUGCUGUGAGGCAUGCUGGAGGUAUCAGAAGUGCGAAUGCUGACAUAAGUAACGAUAAAGCGGGUGAAAAGCCCGCUCGCCGGAAGACCAAGGGUUCCUGUCCAACGUUAAUCGGGGCAGGGUGAGUCGACCCCUAAGGCGAGGCCGAAAGGCGUAGUCGAUGGGAAACAGGUUAAUAUUCCUGUACUUGGUGUUACUGCGAAGGGGGGACGGAGAAGGCUAUGUUGGCCGGGCGACGGUUGUCCCGGUUUAAGCGUGUAGGCUGGUUUUCCAGGCAAAUCCGGAAAAUCAAGGCUGAGGCGUGAUGACGAGGCACUACGGUGCUGAAGCAACAAAUGCCCUGCUUCCAGGAAAAGCCUCUAAGCAUCAGGUAACAUCAAAUCGUACCCCAAACCGACACAGGUGGUCAGGUAGAGAAUACCAAGGCGCUUGAGAGAACUCGGGUGAAGGAACUAGGCAAAAUGGUGCCGUAACUUCGGGAGAAGGCACGCUGAUAUGUAGGUGAAGUCCCUCGCGGAUGGAGCUGAAAUCAGUCGAAGAUACCAGCUGGCUGCAACUGUUUAUUAAAAACACAGCACUGUGCAAACACGAAAGUGGACGUAUACGGUGUGACGCCUGCCCGGUGCCGGAAGGUUAAUUGAUGGGGUCAGCGCAAGCGAAGCUCUUGAUCGAAGCCCCGGUAAACGGCGGCCGUAACUAUAACGGUCCUAAGGUAGCGAAAUUCCUUGUCGGGUAAGUUCCGACCUGCACGAAUGGCGUAAUGAUGGCCAGGCUGUCUCCACCCGAGACUCAGUGAAAUUGAACUCGCUGUGAAGAUGCAGUGUACCCGCGGCAAGACGGAAAGACCCCGUGAACCUUUACUAUAGCUUGACACUGAACAUUGAGCCUUGAUGUGUAGGAUAGGUGGGAGGCUUUGAAGUGUGG